UCAACGUAGCUUAUUAUGCAAAACUAUGGAAAACCCUGCGUCAACCAAAGUCACCGUCAACAACCAUCAUAGCGCCGUUAAACCUCCGUGUCUGCAUCUUCCUCAACCUCGCGACGCACCUGCAACACUGAAUUCCAAAACCUGCAGUGAAGUCGCCGUCAACCAUGAAGCACCACCGCGUCUCCAUGAACCUGCGAUUCAGAAUCCAAAAAAUCAUUCGUUGUUCGUUCUUUCGCGCCUCCGUCAUUCACAAACGCAGAACCCCAGAUCGAACCAGAAGCGAAAACGCAAAACCCUAACCACUAUACUCCAUCGCGCACCAAUGUCAUUGGUGCCAACAAUGCCAGUGGCCACCGGAGGCAUCGUAGACGCUCCUCUGUUUCACUGUUUCUAUUUUGAAUUCCAUUGCUGGGGACUGCUUAUUCAAUCGAUGUGGUUUGUCUUUCUAAAAAGUGUUCUCAGUUGUAAUGCAUAUGUGCAUAAAUUAGCUUUUGCACACAUAAUUGCAGCAACAAAUAUCUAGCAGCAAAGAAACCAUCCUACAAAGACAGAUGUUUUUGGCUGCUAAUAUGUGUGCAUAAUAUUAAAUCUACAGACCUCUGUGUUCAAGAGACCAACUAUGCUUCCUAGAUCAUUGAUUUUUUCUACAGCAUUAUUGAGUUUCUUCUCUUUAGUUUUAGCAUUGUUCAAGGAUAUACCUGACAAUGAAGGAGAUUGAAAAUUUGGCAUUCAAUCUUUGUCAGUGCAUUUGGAUCAGAAGAGGGGACGUUCUUCUUAUGUAUAUUCUCAGAGGACUUGGUCUUGUAUCCUUGAUUUAUCAUAAAUAAGUUUCUUUAAGGUAUUCUGGAUUUGUGUUUCACUUCUUAAAGAGUGUUGCUCCUUAACUGAUGCAUAUAUGGUGUGCAUCAGGUUUCUAAAUAAGGAAAUUCCUCCCUUGCAAAAGUAAACACUGUUGCAUGGAAUAUAUCCUGUGUUUUAUAUAUGUAUUGACAUUAUGUUCGAGUAUCAAGCUCAGUCUGCUCCAAAAUUUAUCAAAUCGUCACAUACCUCCAAGACUGAUAUAUCUAAUGAAUGUGAACAUGGUUGGUGAUUUGAUAUUCUUGUUGAAGUUUGAUGUUCAUUCUCACUUUCUGUGAUAGGUUUCUGCAUAUGCUGUUCUUGCUUCAGUCCUCUGGUAUCAUUCUAAGUCUGUUGAUGUGAAAAGAAACUCUGCCAUAUGUUUCUCAGGAAGGUAACCAUUGACCAAGUUUUUUUCUUCUUUUUAAUAGAUACACAAACCUUGUAAAUUAUUUAUCAGUUGAGAGUAACUUAUUUUGAAGAUUAAUAAUACACGUGUCGCUAAGUAACAAAUAAUAUGAUCAAGAAGAGAGCCAAAGAAAACUAUUAUAAAAAUGAAUAGUUGAUUUUAGAUUAGCCAUCAAUAAGUUUGGAACAAAUGUGUAAAUAAUGUCUUUCCAUAUUAUAUUUGUGUUCGUGAAAUGAGAAUAAGUGUUAUAUGCUUGAUUAUUGUUUAGUUUAGGUGAUACUGUCACAAACUAUACAUUCAAAAGAGAUAAGUAGGGUCAACAAUAUUAUCACAAUCAAAUAAUUGAAGUUAGGAAAUAUUGGUGUUUUUAU